UGGGGAAUUUUGGACAAUGGGCGAAAGCCUGAUCCAGCAAUGCCGCGUGUGUGAAGAAGGCCUUCGGGUUGUAAAGCACUUUUGUCCGGAAAGAAAUGGCUCUGGUUAAUACCUGGGGUCGAUGACGGUACCGGAAGAAUAAGGACCGGCUAACUACGUGCCAGCAGCCGCGGUAAUACGUAGGGUCCAAGCGUUAAUCGGAAUUACUGGGCGUAAAGCGUGCGCAGGCGGUUGUGCAAGACCGAUGUGAAAUCCCCGAGCUUAACUUGGGAAUUGCAUUGGUGACUGCACGGCCAGAGUGUGUCAGAGGGGGGUAGAAUUCCACGUGUAGCAGUGAAAUGCGUAGAGAUGUGGAGGAAUACCGAUGGCGAAGGCAGCCCCCUGGGAUAACACUGACGCUCAUGCACGAAAGCGUGGGGAGCAAACAGG
rnacentral:rRNA from 1 species